GGAUUGUGGCUCAGUGGUAGAGCACUUGCCUUGCAUGCACGAGGCCCUGGGUUCAAUCCUCAGCACCA
rnacentral:tRNA from 1 species